ACAGCUGGGCUCCAAGAAUGAUUUGGCAGGAAUAGGCUUUCCCCCUCUCCUUUAUAAAGCAUGUCCUCAGUUAAAAUUUUGAACCUUGAGCAGACUAGUUGUCUUGGUUCCAUUAUUUCUCUACCUGCCUAGAUUCCCUCUUCUCUUCCAGUUCCAAGAUGCCUUCCAGGCUCAAACCCGGACAUGAGAGCCGGCCCCAACAAUUUGGCGAACCAACACUGGGCCUGGGAAAGGCAGAAGGCAUUUGGAAGAAGCACUGCUGUCUUGGAGCUCCAUGGAAGAAGAAAAGAAUUAAAGAAAAUUCGUACCAGAGAAGGUGCUUCUCACGCAUUCGGUUUUCCUCAGAUGGAGGACAGUUGCCACAGUACACAUUUGGGAAUCAAAGGACAUCUUCCUGCAGCCUCUUUUCCUCUUUACUUAUGUAUAUCUAAAGAAUCAAACUUGUUUGUAUAGCUUAACAAUGGCAGGUACCUCUACCAAUUUAACUACUGCACCAGCCCACAAAAUUUUAAAUCCUGAAGAAAUGUUCAAAUACUUUUGAAUGUAAAUACAAAAAAUAUGAAUAUAUAAUCUAAGCCUAGUACUCCUUCCUUUAUUUAUUUACCUGUUCAAAUGCGAGUUGGAGAGGAUCUUUGAGUUUGCAGAAUCCUAUGGUUUGCAGAAAAUAUAUAAAGGGACUCACAAGAUGCCUGUGGAACCACAUGAUGAAAAGAGGGAAUUGAUGCAAACAAGCUGUCUUUUGCCAAUCACAUGCACAUACACACACACACACACACACACACACACACACACACACCACAUGCAUUCCUUGGAGGGCACACAAACAAUGUAAUUUUAAAAAAUUAAAAAGGAAAUAUGUAAGUUCCCUGUGUACAGACAAUCUAUUUUGUUAAAGAUAAUAAUGAAAGAGGGAAGAGAAGAAAAUGUGAAAGUCAACUGAUCAAUCAAAAGUGAUCAAAAUAGAAGCCAUAAGAAUACUAGCUAUAAAAUCCCUAAGGCAUGAACAAGC
rnacentral:lncRNA from 1 species